UUACGCAUCAACCAAUACAACCAUGGCUUCGCCGGCGUUAACAGGCGGUUACCGGAACCUUACUGCGCCGGUAUCUCUCCUGCGCACUUUAGCAUCUACCCGUAUCACUAAUCCUUUGUAUCAUUCCAAAGAACUUCAUUACAGACAGUCUCCGAGUUUCAUUUCUUCUUCAAAGAGAUUAACUUGCUUGGCAUUACUUCAAACCAAUUCACCGAAUCAAACCACACUCUCCUCUUCUUCCACUACUGGAUGCAUUGAAUACACUCGAUUGAUGCCAUGUCCUGCACAGAGCUAUCCUUUUAGAAUUGAGCACAUGGUUGUUUUAGAAGACGUUCUUGUGGCUGAUUAUAUCUGUAAAAAAUUGGAUCUUCCUCCUUUGUAUGUUGCAGAUCUUAUCCAAUUUGGAGCUAUACAUUACGCUCUUGUAUGCCCUAAACCUCCACCUACUGCGACUCCUGAGCAAAUCAAACUGUUUGAAGAAGUAACUUCUCCUUCUGUACUAAGCAAGAGAUCUUCCAUCAAAGGAAAAACUGUUAGAGAAGCUCAGAAAACGUUUCGUGUGACUCAUACCAAUCAGUAUGUCGAAGCUGGGACUUACUUGCGUGUGCACGUGCACCCUAAACGCUCCCCAAGGUGUUAUGAGAUUGAUUGGAAGUCACGGAUUAUUGCGGUGACUGACUCUUACGUCGUUUUGGAUAAACCUGCCGGCACUACGGUUGGGGGAACCAUGGAUAACAUCGAAGAGACCUGUGCCACAUUUGCCUCACGUGCAUUAGAUUUGCCAGAGCCACUGAAAACAACACAUCAGGUUGAUAAUUGCACAGAGGGCUGUGUUGUCUUUGCUAGAACAAAAGAGUAUUGCCCGGUCUUCCACACGAAAAUAAAAAAUAAAGAAGUAAAGAAACUUUAUCGUGCUCUUGCUGCGGCACCUCUUCCCAGUGGAGUUAUCUCACAUUAUAUGCGCCCAGUCAAUAGGGCUCCAAGACUCGUAUCCGAAGAUCCGAUCAAAGGUUGGCACUUGUGUCAGCUUGAGAUUCUAGAGUGUAAGAAGAUUCCUUGGCCCGAUGCAGCUACUGAGGCAAAACAAGAUAUUGAUGACUGUGGAUGGACUUCAAAAGAAUUUGCUUACGAAUGUACAAUAAACCUUUUAACAGGAAAGACUCACCAGAUCAGGGCUCAGCUUGCAGCUUGUGGGGCACCAUUGGUUGGUGACUCUAUGUACAUGCCAGCUGCAAUAGCAGAGACGGCUAAUCCUGAGAUUAACCCUUAUGGGAAAGCAAAGAAACAUUACACAAUGGAGGAGAACGAUAAGGAAACCGCUGUUGCGGAAUGGAUUGAUAUGCAUGGGAAGGAACCGAGGGUAGGAAUCGGUCUUCAAGCUUGUCAAAUCUCGUGGGAAGAUGAUGAUGGAGAACAUUUUUAUGAAGCUGGGACUCCUUGGUGGAGAUGAGAAACACGUCCUGAUGUUGAUGUUCUUAUCUAAACUUGCUUCAGCAAAUGAGUGGCAUCAUCGUUUUGGGAUUGAGCUCUGUGCUGGAAAAUGAAGUUCUUGUACCAAGAAGCCGAGAGUCUUGGGGUUCUCUCUAGAGUAUUGAAGUCGACAUGGUAUAGACCGAACCUUAUGGUAUAACCAGAUAUCCACUCGAAGUUGUCCAGUAAAGACCAUGUGAAGUACCCUCUUAUAUCUGCACCUUUCCU